rnacentral:rRNA from 1 species
UACGUAGGGUGCAAGCGUUAAUCGGAAUUACUGGGCGUAAAGCGCGCGCAGGCGGUCUUCCAAGUCAGUGGUGAAAGCCCGGAGCUCAACUCCGGAACUGCCAUUGAAACUGUUAGACUUGAGGACGAGAGAGGUGAGUGGAAUUCCCAGUGUAGAGGUGAAAUUCGUAGAUAUUGGGAAGAACACCGGUGGCGAAGGCGGCUCACUGGCUCGUUUCUGACGCUCAGGCGCGACAGCGUGGGGAUCAAACAGG